rnacentral:misc_RNA from 1 species
GAAAUGCGAUAAGUAAUGUGAAUUGCAGAAUUCAGUGAAUCAUCGAAUCUUUGAACGCACAUUGCGCCCGGUGGUAUUCCGCCGGGCAUGCCUGUUCGAGCGUCAUUUAAACCAAUCCAGCCUCGUGCUUGGGUCUUGGGCCUUUCGCCUUUGGGCGGGCCUCAAAAUCAGUGGCGGUGCCGUCUGGCUCUAAGCGUAGUAAACAUUCCUCGCUAUAGAUGUCCGCCGGUAGCUUGCCAACAGCCCCUAAUUUUAUAAGGUUGACCUCGGAUCAGGUAGGGAUACCCGCUGAACUUAA